rnacentral:rRNA from 1 species
AUGAUGUGUUCUCCCCUACCACCCUCACCCCGCAAUCCAAACACAAACGCGAGCACAUCUGACACAAAUAUCUUCCCUAGACCCCCUCCACCCUCCAAUACUUGGUUCACCCAAGAUGCGCUUCUUGGUUUCGAGCAGGAGAGGACAAGUUCUGAAGGAAGCUUUACCUGUAUGGAAGGUGGGGACGCCCCGCCAGGCAUCUCCAUGGGGCGCUCCAUGUCCUCGGAAGGCGACCUGGACCUCCUGGAGCAGCUGCUCUCCGGCGACAACGCCUGGCUUGAAGUGGCGCCCAACACUUCUCGCUCACCCAAUUUUUUUGCUUCUCCCUCCACCUUCCUCUCAGAUGCCACAGCCACCACCACCACGACGCCGGCAGGCGCAAACAGCACCCUGUGGAUUCCGCCAGCCUCCUCCACCGUCCGGCAAAGGUUUGAGCAAGCUCUGGAUUACAUCAAGCAGAUGCAGAGAGAUGCCGGCAUGCUUGUGCAGCUAUGGGUGCCGCAAAAAAACCGUGAUGGCAAGUUGGUGCUGACAACGAGCGGGCAGCCAUUUACUCUGGACAACACCUCAGAUAGACUCAUGCAGUUCAGGGACGUGUCGACGCAUUACCACUUCUCUGCAGAUGUUGGGUCGGAAGCCUCACCGGUUGGGCUCCCCGGGAGGGUGUUCAUUGGCAAGCUACCUGAGUGGUCACCGGACGUUCGGCUCUUCACCAGCUAUGAAUACCCCAGGGUAAAAUAUGCUCAGGAUUUGGACGUCCAUGGGACAAUGGGGCUGCCGGUGUUCGAGAAGGGGAGUUACUCGUGCUUGGGUGUCAUGGAAUUGAUCAUGACCAGGCAAAAGCUCAACUUCACCUCAGAGAUCAACGACAUCUGCAGGGCUCUCCAGGCAGUUAACCUGAGAAGCACAGAAGUUUCAAGCACUCCGCGCGCCACAAAGUUCAACAGUGCUUCCUACAAAGAUGCUCUACCAGAGAUACUAGAAGUCCUAAGGGCAGCCUGCGUCACCCACAAUCUCCCAUUAGCUCAGACCUGGGUCACAUGUGCUCAACAAGGGAAAGGGGGAAGCCGCCACACCGAUGAGAACUACCCGUACUGCAUCUCCACCAUUGACACAGCAUGCUACGUCAAUGAUCCCCAGAUGCAGAACUUCCAUGACUCCUGCUCUGACCACCACCUUCUGCGUGGGCAAGGAGUUGCAGGGAAAGCCUUCGAAACGAACCAGCCAUGCUUCUUACCAGACAUUGGAUCUUCAGCUAAAGAACACUAUCCAUUAUCCCACCAUGCUAAGAUCUUCAACUUAAAAGGUGCCGUGGCAAUCCGGUUGAGGUGCACGCGGACUGGGACAGCGGACUUUGUGCUAGAGUUCUUUCUGCCGACCAACUGUGAAGCCCUCGAGGAGCAAAAGGCAGUCCUGGACUCCUUGUCAGGCACCAUGCGUAGUGCUUGCCGAACUCUACGUGUGGUUACGGACAAGGAGAUUGGGGAUGAGGAAAUGCUGGAAGUGAAUGAGCUGAACUCAUUUGGUCCUCAAGGGAAGAAUAAGGUUGAAGAGUUGUCCUUUGGAAACCAAGCAACAGAACAUAGAGAGGAGGCAUCAUGGACAAGUCUAGCAAGGACUUCAAAAGAAUCAGAUUUAGCUGAAUUAAGUAUGCAUGGUAUGCUAUCACCUGUAGGACAGGGUCUAUCUCCAGCUGGUGCUCAGACAAGUGCACAAGGCAGCAAAGGGAAAAGGCGCACAAAGACGGAGAAGACUGUGAGCUUGCCGGUUCUUCGGCAGUACUUUGCUGGUAGCCUGAAAGAUGCAGCAAGGAGCCUUGGAGUGUGCCCUACCACCCUCAAAAGAAUAUGCAGGCAGCAUGGUAUAAAUCGCUGGCCAUCACGAAAGAUCAAGAAGGUAGACCAUUCUCUAAGAAAGCUGCAGCAGAUCAUUGAUUCAGUUCACGGAGGAGAGACAGCUUUCCAGCUUAAUACCCUGUACAAGGAUCUCACAAACACCUCUGUAUCAUCUGACAACAAUUUGUCAGGAAGCGUCACAGUUCCUCCACACAAGCAGAGCAAUCUCACUGAUUUUGAGGGGCACCGACACCACAGGCUAAGCAGUAAUGUGCCAUCAACCUCACACUCACACUCAUCAUGCAGCCAAAGUUCUGAUUCAAGCCCGUCAUCGUGCAGUGGUGGAUCAACAAAGCAUCCACCUCAGGCUGGAGUUGAUUUGCUUAUGUCAGGAAAUCCUGUAAAUCACAGCCCUGUCCAGACUCUGCAAACAGAAAAUGCAUCAAUAAGAGGACAUUUCCCAGUUCAGGAGGCACCAGAUCUGUUGCAUAAUCUGAACCAACAGGCUUUAGGUGGGCAGCAUUCUUCUCGAAGCCCAUCACCCCCAAAACAGAAUGCAGAUGCAGGUAUGAGAAUAAAGGCCACAUUUGGCUCAGAAAAGGUCAGGUUCAGAUUGAAGCCUGAGUGUAGUUUUCAAGAACUGAAGCAGGAGAUGGCAAGACGUUUGAGUAUAGUAGACACAAGCUUUUUGAUUGUAAAGUACCUGGAUGAUGAUUUAGAGUGGGUCUUGAUGACAUGCGAUGCAGAUUUACAGGAAUGCCUUCAUGUAUAUAAACUAGCAAAUCUCCAAACAGUCAAAAUUUCAGUUCAUCUAGCUCCUAUUCCGGAGGCAAGGGUCACUAUUGGUCACACUGGUUUGUCAUAA